rnacentral:lncRNA from 1 species
ACCCUCAACUUUGCAUCCACCUAUGAUUUUAUCCUUACACUUAUUUAUAAAAACAAAAUAUUUGGAGCAUUGCCUUGAACGGCGAUCUAAAACUAAAACUUUCGAAAGAAGACCAGUUCGAUCCAGUCCGAGUGAAGAGGACCACAAUCUCUCUUAAGGGACCAACGGCCUCUCCUGUACGUGGAAGCAACACUCCGGACUUGGUUUUGGCGGUCGAAGAAGCUGUGAGGAGCAGGCAAAUCUUCAACGUGACGUACCUGCUAGAUCUGGCGAGUGCGAGCGAACCUAUGGACCUGCCACGAACAAAGGAAGCGCGCCUCCUCGGAUACAGUGUCUGGUUUCCGAGCUCCUCCUCGGCUCCGAUUUCGAUCUCGGUGCUCUCAUCGGCAAAGAACGGCACACCGUUCGUCAAAGUCUGCGUGAUGCUCUGGGAGAAGGUGUACGAGUUGUGGAAGGAUGCUCACUGGUGUGGUCUUGCUGCAUCUCUGAAGUCACGCACCAGACGUCUUACACAGUCACGAUCCGCUCCAGGGAAAACGGGGAAAACGGUACGUAAAAGACUGAGCCUGUGCGCCUCUGGUCGACUGAUUAGCUCACAUCCGUCGGUAUCCAGGGAACUGUGUAGGUGGUGAUCAGCAUUGAUCCCGUUCCAUGGAUGCAUCGACGGUGUCUUUGAUGGUGUGUUGGCUUUCAGGACAGAUAAAUCAUUCCCUGUUCCCAUGAAGCUAAAGGGUACGAAAUAGGCCUACCUUGGUGGUAAUAAGAAAUAGAAUAAAACGAUGCUGGAUCACAUCACAAGUUAUACAGAAAACACUCGUUACUCAUGGCUCCAUCUGUAGCAAGAUUGUAAGACUGGGAAAAUGUCCGAUAGAAAAAUAAGCUUACUGCCCAUAUUUAUCCUUCAUUUUCUCGGCGAUGCGAUCCGCAUUCUUGCUUGCUCUUCGGACGUCUUUCGCGGCCCUGAAAUAGCAACACCCCAUGAAUCAAUAGCCAAAGAAUACUCAAAGGAACCCAUACAAGUCGACACUCAAUCUUUGAAGAGCAAUAGAUCGCCGUUCAAAACUCUCCUGCGGUCCUUCCGAGUUUUUAAGCUGGCGAGCCAGGCUCCCGAAGAAGACCCCCAACACCUUCACAGAACGACAAUUUAGUUAGCCAAACUUUUAGCUAUACCACAUAGUUUGCAAACCUCGGCAACGACCAGGAAGUAAAACGCCCAUGAAACACGUCCGAUAAACGACUCCACCUACAUUCACAAUCACCUACAAUAAAAAGAUACGAUAAGCCCAAGCUCGUGAAUAACAUGUACCUCAUUCGCACUAAAGCGUUUAGAUCGAAAACUUCUCGCCACUUUCUCUCUCUGCGACAAGCGAGUGAAGCUGAGCCCAAAGUGAAAAGGUGAUGCGUACGUUCGAAAAUGAGGCCAACGAGUACACGAUGGAUCCAAGAGCAGCAAAACAAUUGAAGACGAUAUUUAUCCAGAAGCAAGGACCGACUGUCCUUCCUAUGCCUGAAGCACCAGCCACAAUCGUUACCCCUCCAAGAAUUAUAAGAAGCCUACGCAAAUAAAACAAGAAGUUAGAUUCCCAGAACAAAUAAUUACAUCACUGCAACUGACCACCCAGGCGAAAAGUUGGGACUCCCUCCUUGUAUGACCGGAACCAUUAUAACAAUCAAGCCUCCGCACACCUAGGUAGCUGAAGAAAUCAAUAAACGAGCCCCCAACAAAAGAAAACAAAUCCGUGUACCAGAAUGAAAAGAUGUAGCAGGUUCAGAGCCCAAUCUAUCGCCGUAAGCGUCUUCAUAUCUGAACAGAGAACUUAGUCUCGCAAAGAAAAUUUCGAAAGCGUACAGAACCUGAUCGGAUCCGAAAGGCUGUUUUCAUCUCCAAAAUUCUCCCCCGAACUUCCCCUGCCAUGUCAUUAGCUCAUACACGACACGCAGUAGUAUUAAAAACAUCCGACUUGUUGUCCGAGUGAGAAAAAAAAAGUCGGGCCUAAAGCUUCAACAAAUACAGCCCAGUUUACAAUUAGAAAAGCAGCUACAAUUAUAGUAAAAUAUACAAACAGCAAGUCUUAGCUCUGGUGCGCUCCAACUCACGACUGAGAUGCAACGUACGUCUGAUACGGGGAGCUGCGAGUGCCAGCCCCGUUACCACUCGUGGAACUAUUCCCUCCCUGCGCUCUGAAAGAAAGAGGUGGGAAGUCCUCUUCUUUCAUUUGGUAAGCCCUCUGGUUUUGCCUGAAGUAGCAAAACGAGUUUCAGUGGCCAGAAUAAUCGAUAAAACGUUUUGGUACCUUUGCUGGUCAUUCGGGGAGGACGGCUGUUGUCUAUCUUGACCCGCAGCCUGCUGCCCCUUAGAGCUCACACGAACGGCUCCAAGCUCAGAGCCCUGCACCGCCCCAAGCGUCCCAAACUCAAGCGGUUCGUUGGACGGGUAUACAACAAUCGACGUGUUCCCAUUGCCGUUCAUAUACACCUGAGAAUAAGCUUGCAGGGUUGCAGGGGGUUCCAAAAGUACGGUUGCAGGGGGUACGCGGCUCUACGUCCGAUUCCGCCGGCGCGCGGGCCUCGAGGCCACCUACACGGAGAUUUGCGAUGGAUUGUUCGUGGGGCGUGGCCAUUCCAGCGCGAUCACAUCCCUCCGGGCAGUCCCGCGGUCGUGGAUUGCACCAACGAGCUACCCAGGACGGUGGGAUUGGAGCUUCCCUAUGUGUGCAUCCCGGCCUGGGAUACCAGAUCGCCAUCGCCGGAGGGCAUCGAGCUAGCCGUGCGCUGGGCUCUCGUCAAGCGCUCCCAGAACCAUCCCAUUCUCAUCCACUGUGCCAAAGGUAGGCUUCCCCAUCACUCUUUUUUCUUUCUUUCUUCUUUUGCCAUAGCUAGGCCUAGUUGAAAAACAAUGUUUUGAUUGUCUUCUUUCAGCAUUCUUUCGAUUGGCAUUUUGUUCCUCUGCAUUGAUGAUCUUUCCCUCUUUCUUCCCCGGAUUUUUAUCGACGCGCAUUGAGCGUGCUUUAGUUUUCAUCUUGGCUGGCGGGGUGGGCCUUAGACGAUUUGGAUGCUUGUCGUUCGUGCACAGGUCAUGGGCGUAGUGUGGCUGUUACGUGCGCGCUGCUGGUGGCAUUGGGCGUGGUGGGCGACUGGAAGGAAGGCGAGAGCCUGAUCAAGAGACAUCGCCCACGGAUCCGUCUCAAUGCAGCGCAAAGGAAAUCUCUUCAAGAAUGGCGUAAGUCUCAAACAGAGAACCUCUUUACGUCUCUCUCGCUCUAUAGAUACCGGGGUUGAUUUUUAUUCUUGUGUUAUGUAUCAGAGCUUCGGCGGUAUUGAUAUGUUAGCAGAUGGUCUUCGUAUUUGUUGAUACUGAACCUUGAAACCGAGCUAAUGUGUUUUCUCCUCGUGAAAUAUACUUCUCUUAGUACUGAUUUUAGACAAGCUUUAUUAGAUAUUUGGGAUAUUUGUCACUUUGAUUCAUGAGGUAUUUUUCUAAGCUGGUUCAUGUGAAAUAUUUAUAUACUUUUCUUAGUAUUGAUUUUAGACAAGCUUUAUUAGACAUUUGUCUUGCUCACUUUGAUCUAGGAGGUAUUAUUCUAGAGCUGGUUCAACAGCCAUUACUUCUGGAUGCACCGUGCUCCCCAGCUUUGCAGGAAAUGGCCAAACGCAUGAAGCUCGAGAGCUCUUUGAUGCCAUUCCCGAAGAGAUGAAACCCCUGUUCUUGGGCAACCCUUUGGCUGAUAGAAAGGCUAGGCUCCAGAGGACUUAAUUUUCUUAAUUUAAUCGAAAGCUCCCAUGUGUUUCAAUGUGGUGCAAACUCUCCUCAGCCGCUAACUCUAGCUAAGGUGGCAAACUUCAGCAACAGCUAGUAGAAAAUUCACAGCUGUGAAGACUUCCCGUUUUUCUAUAUCGAACCUGUCUAUGUCUACUGUAACUUACGUCAUCUCGCAUAUAACUGAGGCAGACGUACCAUCUUACUACGAGCAUUUAAGCGGAGAUCAUAUCAUCCUCCCUAAAUAGCACUAUCUCUCCCAAUCUAAGCCCAAGUUACUCCUGUCCACAAUGGUUCACAUCCCAAAUCCAGAUUCCCCUGUUCUCAAGCUCCCCCGCUUCUUCUCUCUCAAAGCCGACAAUGGUAAGUACCUCAUGCUCAAGUCCGAUGGCACCCUUGCAUUCGAGUCCGACACCACCACCCGAUACACCACACACGAGGCGGUCUACAAUGCCAAUGAUUCCAACGCCUCCUUCGUCAUUUGCUCCGCCAACAAGCACUUCUGGCGCCGCCACUCCUCCACCUCUGCCGUGGUAGCCGACCUCAAGAACCCGCCCAGCGACACCGAUGCCUCAAACCGGUUCAAGCUCCAGCCCGAGGUCGCCCCAGGAAAGGUGGCACUCUCCUCCGUCCAAGACGGUCUCUUCCUCAAGCGCUUCAACACCCAGUACCGCGCGUUGCUCGAGGAGCCCAAUGAGAUCUUUGCCAUGGUAGAAGUGGUGGAGUCGUCCUACUACGUUGUCAACAUGCCCGAGUACGUGGGUUUCAAAGGUAGCAAUGCCAAAUACCUCACGUGCUUGGUCGAUUACCCUGUCAUACUGGAUCCGUUCGCGCUCACAGAAGAAUCUGCUGACGUUCGUCUUACCACCCACCAGGUACUGCUGUUUUCGUCUUUCAUCUGCUUGCUUCCAUUCGCAGCCCCCUUACCAGGUGGAGUAUCUCCUGAACGGCAAGAUAGCUCUUCGAUCCAACCAAGCCGCCUCCUGGACUUCAAACAAUUACUGGAGGGCGUCCCAGUGGAUUACACCGGACGGUGACACUCCCGACCACCCUGAAUGCCAGUUCGAUCCAGUCCGAGUGAACAGCACCACAGUUGCUCUCAAGAGUGCCAAUGGCCUCUACUGCAAGCGUGGAAGCCCGUCCUUCACCAACGCUCCGGACGCGAUCUUUGCUGAGGCAUCCGACUACGAGGAAACGUCAAGCCACCUCGUGGUCGAAGAAGCUGUGAUGAGCAGGCAAAUCUUUAACGUGACUUACCUGCUAGAUCUGGCGAGUGCAAGCGAGGAGGAGCCAAUCGGUGUCGCCUAUGGAUCUGCCACGAACAAGGGCAGUGAGCCUGCAGAGAUGGAGAUCAGCGUGAGCAAGACCACCACAGUGAGCAACACCAGGUCCUUCCACAACUCGUUCACCUUCUCCCAGAGCAUCACGCAGACUUUGACGCUCGGUGUGCCGUUCUUUGCCGACGAGAGCACCGAGAUCCAGAUCGGAGCCGAGCAAGAGUUUGGAAAC